GACGAACGCUGGCGGCGUGCUUAACACAUGCAAGUCGAACGGUGAAGCCCUUCGGGGUGGAUCAGUGGCGAACGGGUGAGUAACACGUGAGCAAUCUGCCCUUGACUCUGGGAUAACUUCGGGAAACCGGAGCUAAUACCGGAUAUGACGCACGGAGGCAUCUUCUGUGUGUGGAAAGAUUUAUCGGUCAGGGAUGAGCUCGCGGCCUAUCAGCUUGUUGGGGGGUAAUGGCCUACCAAGGCGACGACGGGUAGCCGGCCUGAGAGGGCGACCGGCCACACUGGGACUGAGACACGGCCCAGACUCCUACGGGAGGCAGCAGUGGGGAAUAUUGCGCAAUGGGCGAAAGCCUGACGCAGCGACGCCGCGUGAGGGAUGAAGGCCUCGGUCGUAA
rnacentral:rRNA from 1 species